rnacentral:misc_RNA from 1 species
AAAGUGCGAUAUCUAGUGUGAAUUGCAGGCCUGAGAUUCAUCGACAACUCGAAUGCAUAGCGCCUGUGAGUCACUCACAGGCUUGUUCGAUUGAGUGCUGCUUAUUUACCCAUCAUUCACUCGAUUACUCACGAGUAAAUCAAGUGUAAUGCCAGCUUUGACCAAAGCAAACGAGAGGUGUUUUACUCGCUUCAUACACGGUAAACUCAUCGUCACAGACAGUUGAACUGUCGAUGAAACUGUGAAUUUGAGUGGGUACGAAGCACCCAAAAUUGUUUACUCGAGCUUACACGCUUCUUCAAGCGCUGUUUCUCGAUCAAAAUGCAGCCUCAAGUCGAGCAAGACAACCCACUGAACUUAA